AACGAACGCUGGCGGCAUGCCUAACACAUGCAAGUCGAACGUGAUCCGGGACUUCGGUUCCGGUGAAAGUGGCGCACGGGUGAGUAACGCGUGGGAACCUGCCCAAAGGUAAGGAAUAACCGCGGGAAACUGCGGCUAAUACCUUAUGCUCCCUUCGGGGGAAAGAUUUAUCGCCUUUGGAUGGGCCCGCGUCGGAUUAGCUAGUUGGUGAGGUAACGGCUCACCAAGGCGACGAUCCGUAGCUGGUCNGAGAGGAUGAUCAGCCACACUGGGACUGAGACACGGCCCAGACUCCUACGGGAGGCAGCAGUGGGGGAAUAUUGGACAAUGGGCGCAAGCCUGAUCCAGCAAUGCCGCGUGAGUGAUGAAGGCCUUAGGGUUGUAAAGCUCUUUUGGCGGGGAAGAUGAUGACGGUACCCGCAGAAGAAGCCCCGGGCUAACUUCGUGCCAGCAGCCGCGGUAAU
rnacentral:rRNA from 1 species